UAACUUCAGCAACUUUUUCCUGUUUUUGCUCAAAUCUGAUUUUUUAAUUACGUUGUCAGCUUCCUUCAUCCGUGAGCCUUUCUCGCUCCAGAGCCGACCUAAACUGUAGUUAUUAGUUAUUUGGAAAUUCUGAUCUAUCCAACUGUAACUAUUUCAUCUGUUUCCGAGUUUUAGAAUAUACUAGUAGAAAUAAGAAUAGAGAAUGGAAAUGGAGAAGGGAGGAGUUUCGUCGUGGGAAUCAUUGAACGGUGGAGAAGAUGUAUAUAGUUCUAAAGAAUCAGAUGCUUGCACAGCCGAUCAUCUUGUUAUGAUGGUCCACGGUAUUCUCGGAAGUGCUUCGGAUUGGAAGUUUGGUGCGGAGCAGUUUGUUCGGAAUCUUCCAGACAAAGUUUUUGUUCAUUGCAGUGAACGUAAUAUGGCUAGACUAACGCUGGAUGGUGUGGAUGUAAUGGGCAAGCGAUUAGCUGAGGAGGUUCUUGAUGUCAUCAAAAGAAAGCCAGGUUUGAAGAAAAUUUCUUUUGUUGCACAUUCUGUUGGAGGAGUAGUGGCAAGAUAUGCAAUUGGGAAAUUAUAUAGACCUCCACGAACGGAGAAAAUAGAGAAAUUCUCGGCCAACGCCAGUGAAGAAGGGUCAAAAGGCACAAUAGCUGGCCUGGAACCAGUAAAUUUUAUCACUGUGGCCUCACCUCAUCUGGGUUCAAGGGGUAACAAGCAGGUGCCAUUUCUUUUUGGUGUAACUGCCUUUGAGAGAGCUGCUGGUCUUUGUGUUCAUUGGAUAUUCAAGAAAACAGGUCGACACCUUUUUCUUAAUGAAGAUGAAGGGAAGCCUCCAUUACUGAGACGGAUGGUGGAAGAUGAUGUUGAAUUAUGCUUUAUGUCUGCAUUGGGUUCAUUCAAGCGAAGGGUCGCAUACUCAAAUGUUGGUUAUGAUCAUAUUGUAGGUUGGAGAACAUCGUCAAUUAGACGUAAUAAUGAACUUCCCAAGUGGGAGGAUUCCCUAAAUGAGAAGUAUCCUCAUAUUGUGCAUGAAGAACAUUGCAAGGCGUGUGAUAGUGAGCAGGGUGAGUCUGUUGUAAAGGAAGAUGAUUGUUUUGACAGGCUAGAAGAGGAAUUGGUGACUGGUUUAUCUCGGGUGUCUUGGGAGAAAAUAGAUGUCAGCUUUCACAGCAGCAGGCUCAGAUUUGCUGCACACAGUGUUAUUCAGGUGAAAGAUCAAUACAUGCAUGCAGAAGGUGCUGAUGUUAUCCAACAUAUGAUUGAUAAUUUUCUUCUAUAGAAGUCGAUCAAAUCUGAAGAAUAUUGUAUGUUGGCGGUGAAUACUGAAUUUAUAAGGUCGGAAUUGUACUAGUUUCUCGCGAUUACCUCAUUCAUGAUCUUUAUAUGUAUCGAGGGAAAGGUGGUCAGGACUGAAGCAGCCACACCAGUAUCUACGUGAGAAAAUGGUAAUAGAGCAUACAAUCAUAAAGGCAACGGCAGCAUCCCCAAUAGAAUCUAUAUAUAAUAUAAAGGUAGGUAUAGACAAGGUGAUGUGGCACCUCUCUAUGGCCUCCAUUUGCAUUUAUUUUUUUUCUCAUUUUUUUGCAUUUUUUGAUAUUUUUCUCCUUCAUUCUAUUUAAUACAAUGCAUUAAUAAAGGAAAAAAGUCUGAUACAUUUGAUUUGCCUAAUAAAGCGCUACUGUAUCCAUUUUCUUAAACUGAGCCCACGUAAUAUACUAUAGUAGUAAAUACGAUUUGCAUUAUCUUCCUCCUUCCUUUAUUUGUCUGUUUUACACCCUUUAUUUGCUUUAAAUUUUUACCUCCAUAAGACCAUAACUGACCUAUUAAUUUCUGCUCUUAAUAGUAUUUAUAAUUCAUGCUUUCCAAGUUUUCAUAUUCCUAACCCCCAAAAUUUAAUUUAAAAGUUUAAGAUACCUUAUGGUAUUUCUCCAUCUACUCCUAUAUAAAUUCAUAUUUUUUGUUUCAUGAGACUCUACCCAAAGUUAUCCUCAAUUUUCACUGCAGUAUUAUAUUCAUGUUUUUCUUACUUGAAGAAGAAGAACGCUCUUGAAUGGUGAUAGGCUUGUGGGAGUGAAUAUCAACAAGAGCUUCCUAAAUUAUGUAUUAAUUCCAUAUUUUUCCCUUCUAUCUUUUAAUGAUUAAAAUCUUCGUAAUGAUGUGUAUAUUGUCUUAUUUUUUUUUCUCUAUUUUCUUUCCCUAUGUACCUCUAUGAUGUCUCUUAAGUUCAGGUUUUAUAUGAAUUUUCGUCCGAUGAUAAAAAAGGAGUAGAAUUGCAUAACAUAGCCAUUGAUUAUAUUGUUUCAGCUGUGGCGCAGCGGUGUGCAAUAAAUCGAGUUGCAUGUUCUUUUGUUGAUUGAAUUUACAGUUAAGGGAGUACAUUGUUAUUGUAUUUGGAUGGAGAUGAGAGUUGUGGAAAUCACGGGCAGUAUAUGCACAUACAUUAUAGUUUUUAGUCUCUUUCUGUGUGUUUAAUUUGUUUUAAAAUCGUUGUAAGUUGCAAGAAUAAAUAUUGUGUUCUUCUUCUAAAGAAGAUGAUCACAUGUGAAUUCCUAACGCUUUUUUUUCUCCAUGGAAUCAAUUGUAAGUCUGAGUAUUUAUAGAAACAACCGAGUAAGUGUAACUUUUUUAAUC